CAGAUCGAUAUUAAAAAUAAUUCAUACAGGAAUCGGGAAAGUAUUCAUUUAAAACGAACAAAGUUGUCAACUUUCAGACAAUUUUGACAGAAAUUGCCUAUCAAGUACCAAAAGUUCCACAUCUUAUUAACUCAAAGCACUAAAAUUCCAGUUCAAAGACAUAGAGAACUAUUCAUUUUCACCUUUUAUGGGAUAUCCCAUGGCUUAGGCUCAGGAAUUGCUACAACCAUUCCUUGAAGCUCCGGUGAGAGGACCACCUGACAACCCAGCCUAGAAUGUUUGUUCAAAACCCUAGCCCUAGAGUUCCUCUUCAGCACAUACUGCUCAUCGUAAGAAGCUUUUGGAAGCUUCUCGAGCCAUUCUUGAGCAAUGUGCACCUCACACUCGGAGGAACACGCAUCAAUGUCUUCAAGGCGAUGAGAAUCCGGGUCGAUUAACCCGUGGUUGGUUAGCGCUUUGAGCAGAGUUUGACCCGAGAGCCCUAUAAUCUCCCGUUUACAGCCCUCAGGGUCAACGGCGAAGAGCUUGACGAUCCGAUCGGCGACUUUGGCGGAGCCGGAGCGGGACGAACAUGAGGAUGCGGAGGAUCGAGUGAUUGAAAAAAUCGAAGGGUUUCGUGCGAUUCGUGAGGCGAAUCUCUGCAAAUUAGCGACCGCCAUCUUCGAAUGUUAGCCAAUUUUGGGGGAAAUGAG
rnacentral:misc_RNA from 1 species